rnacentral:rRNA from 1 species
AUUGAACGCUGGCGGCAGGCCUAACACAUGCAAGUCGAACGAGUGGCGGACGGGUGAGUAAUGUCUGGGAAACUGCCCGAUGGAGGGGGAUAACUACUAGAAACGGUAGCUAAUACCGCAUACCAUCGGAUGUGCCCCGAGGGGAUUAGAUAGUAGGUGGGGUAACGGCUCACCUAGGCGACGAUCCCUAGCUGGUCUGAGAGGAGGACCAGCCACUCUGGAACUGAGACACGGUCUAGACUCCUACGGGAGGCAGCAGUGGGUAAGAUUGCACAAUGGGCGCAAGCCUGAUGCAGCCAUGCCGCGUGUAUGAAGAAGGCCUUCGGGUUGUAAAGUUCUUUCAGCUAGGAGGCGUUACUCGCAGAAGAAGCACCGGCUAACUCCGUGCCAGCAGCCGCGGUAAUAC